rnacentral:rRNA from 1 species
AGUGGCGCACGGGUGAGUAACGCGUAGGUAAUCUACCUUAAGGAUUGGGAUAGCUCUACGAAAGUAGGAUUAAUACCAUAUAUGCUCUAUUGAGUAAAGAUUUAUCGCCUUAUGAUGAGCCUGCGUUAGAUUAGUUAGUUGGUAGGGUAACGGCCUACCAAGGCGACGAUCUAUAGCCGGGUUGAGAGACUGGCCGGCCACAUUGGGACUGAGACACGGCCCAGACUCCUACGGGAGGCAGCAGCUAAGAAUCUUCCGCAAUGGACGCAAGUCUGACGGAGCGACGCCGCGUGAACGAUGAAGGCCUUACAGGUUGUAAAGUUCUUUUAUAGAAGACGAAUGUUAUGCGUAGGCAUAACUGACGGUAUUCUAUGACUAAGGUCCGGCUAACUACGUGCCAGCAGCCGCGGUAAUACGUAGGGACCGAGCGUAGUUCGGAAUUAUUGGGCGUAACAGGGUACGUAAGGCGGUCUACUAAGUCACAUGUGAAACCCUCGGGCUCAUCCUGAGGCCUGCGUCUGAUACUGAAAGGCUAGAGUUACGGAGAGGAAGUCGGAAUUCCUGGUGUAGGGGUGAAAUCUAUAGAUAUCAGGAAGAAC